GUCUAUGGCCAGCCACCCUGAACAAGCCUGAUCCCAUCUGAUCUCAGAAGCUAAGCAGGGUCGGGCCUGGUUAGUACUUGGAUGGGAGACCACCUAGGAAGACCAGGUGCUAUAGGCA
rnacentral:rRNA from 1 species